AAGCUCUUUCUGAGCCAUUGCAGCCGAGAGUCCUCGCACAGAGUUCUCAUUUUAGCUCCCGGCUGCUCACAGGUCGUGCACCAGCCCAUAUCUCCUGCGAGGGUAGUUAAUCUCCACACAGCAGCCUAAGUGCCAGACACAGAAACAAAAGGAUGAAAUCAUUAGCAUCAAUUGGGCACAUUCAGUGGAGAUUACUGACAUGCCAUUGUUAGGAGGAUAAAGGAAAUAUAAUUAAUAAAACCCGCCCAGCCCGCCUUUUGUGCUCCCAUGAAUUCUUUAUUGGCACCUGCAUCUAUCUCGUCCACAGACGAGCCCUCUCCUUCCACUGCCCUGGAUGUCGCUAAAAUGAACGGUGCAGAAAAUCACUCCCAGGAUCUGAAAACUCAUCUUUUCCUGCUGCAAUGUGUCUUCUGGUGCCUCCGUGCUCUCCCUCCCAGGGCAGAAGUAGAAAGAGCAUUUUGUAGCCCGACAGCACAGGAAGCAGGGAAGUUGCCUGAAGUGUACUGCAAACCUAAAAACACCCCAGCCCGGGCUUUCCUCACCACCUGGAAGACCAGCCUUUGAAGAGAAACAGAAACCCACUCUUAACCCCUGAGAGCCUGGGCUCCCACUGAGAGAACAUGCUGUGGCCUCCCACCCACUGGGCCCUCGAGGGGUCUGAAGCCCGAAAUAGGUCAGUGAUGAGCCGAAAGCCCCACAGCAUCGCGCGGGGAGCCGGGACUUUCCCGGAAGUCCAGGAAUCUGAAACUCCAACGCCUGUGGGAGGCAGACAGGACUGGUGGUGCCCAGUGCACAGCAGGGGCUCAGGACUGAGGCCACCUCACAUACCACAAUGGGGAAGCCAGCAUCAGACCAGAACUGACUGCAGUCAGAUGCUAUGAACUUAAAGUCCCUGUGAACCUUAACAUCAUUUAUCCACUUGGUGUGAAAUCCUUGCAGUGAGAAG